GUACUACUCUCAGAGUUUGAUCCUGGCUCAGGACGAACGCUGGCGGCGUGCCUAACACAUGCAAGUCGAACGGGGUGAUUCGCUUCGGUGGAUCACUUAGUGGCGAACGGGUGAGUAACGCGUGAGAAACCUGCCUUUCAGUGGGGGACAACAGUUGGAAACGACUGCUAAUACCGCAUAAUGUUAUUUAGGGGCAUCCCUGAAUAACCAAAGCUUUAUGUGCUGAAAGAUGGUCUCGCGUCUGAUUAGCUAGAUGGCGGGGUAACGGCCCACCAUGGCGACGAUCAGUAGCCGGUCUGAGAGGAUGAACGGCCACAUUGGGACUGAGAUACGGCCCAG
rnacentral:rRNA from 1 species